UAAUUAAUAUAUAGAAUAUUUUCCCGAUAAAAAAAGAUCUAUAUAUAUUAUUUAAUUUAUUAGGUAAUUCCCUACAAUGUAGCAUUAUUGUAUACAAAAUUUUUAUAUAGAGGUGAAAUACCUACAAUUUUUUUGAUAUCUGGAUUAAGUUUAAAUGAAUUUAGUUCUUGACAUAAUCGAGGAGUUAUAAGAUUCUUCGAAAUUAGAAUUUUAGAUUUUAUGUUAUAUGGGAAUAAAUUUCUAAAUAUUUGUAUUUUAAUAAUAUUCAUGUCUAUUUUAUAUCUGUUUACUAAACUUUUUCUAUGCUUGAAUUUAAGUGCUAGUCUAUAAUGUUUAAAUAAGUAUUUCUAUUAAAUCAAAAAAAGGAACUCGGCAAACUCUUCUCCUCAACUGUUUACCAAAAACAUAGCUUAAAGGAAGUAAUUUAUUUUAAGUGUUUUCUGCCCAGUGAAAAUUUUAACGGCCGCAGUACACUGACUGUGCUAAGGUAGCAUAAUAAUUUGGCUUUUAAUUGAAGUCGGGUAUGAAAGGGAUUAUGGGGAGCAUCUGUCUUUUUUAGACGAGUAAAAAUUAUUAAGAAAGUGAAAAUUCUUUCGGUGAAAUAUGUAAGACGAGAAGACCCUAAGAAUUUUAUAUAAUUUUUAUGACAUUAUUUCAUAAGAAAUUUUUGUUGGGGCAACAGCUUUGGUAAACCAAAGUUACAAUUUAUUUUAUAUGCCAAUAAUUAUAAGAGAGAUAAAAUUACCUUAGGGAUAACAGCAUAAUUAUUUUGUUAGAUUGUGACCUCGAUGUUGGACUAAGGACUUAAUUAAAUAGCCUUUAAUUUUGCUGGUUCUGUUCGAACUAUUAACCUUA
rnacentral:rRNA from 1 species